CCGCCCCCGCCCGCCCGCCGCCCGCAGGCCCCGCCCCCGCCUGCCCGCCUCCCGCAGGACGCAGCCCCGCGCGCCGCCGCCCGCCGCCCGCACGUGAUGUGUUGGAACGACAGCAAUCAUCGGCAGCAGAUCUAAGAGAGGAACGGGAGCAACACUCUUGGAUGGUUAUUGGUCCAAAAGUGGCGACAAGUUCUUCAAGGCAGGGGAAGCUAAGGGGCGCUUCUUUGGUCCAAUUGUUGAUUUGAUGCGUACUUUACGUGUUUUUCUUCAUUUGAGGUACUUCUAAACCAUAUUUUUGUUGUGAAACUUUAUUUCCGUAUAAUAUUUGAACAUAAUCUAGUAAUCCACCGCCA